rnacentral:rRNA from 1 species
GCAAGUCGAACGAUGAAGCCUUUCGGGGUGGAUUAGUGGCGAACGGGUGAGUAACACGUGGGCAAUCUGCCCUUCACUCUGGGACAAGCCCUGGAAACGGGGUCUAAUACCGGAUAACACUCUGUCCCGCAUGGGACGGGGUUAAAAGCUCCGGCGGUGAAGGAUGAGCCCGCGGCCUAUCAGCUUGUUGGUGGGGUGAUGGCCUACCAAGGCGACGACGGGUAGCCGGCCUGAGAGGGCGACCGGCCACACUGGGACUGAGACACGGCCCAGACUCCUACGGGAGGCAGCAGUGGGGAAUAUUGCACAAUGGGCGAAAGCCUGAUGCAGCGACGCCGCGUGAGGGAUGACGGCCUUCGGGUUGUAAACCUCUUUCAGCAGGGAAGAAGCGAAAGUGACGGUACCUGCAGAAGAAGCGCCGGCUAACUACGUGCCAGCAGCCGCGGUAAUACGUAGGGCGCAAGCGUUGUCCGGAAUUAUUGGGCGUAAAGAGCUCGUAGGCGGCUUGUCACGUCGGAUGUGAAAGCCCGGGGCUUAACCCCGGGUCUGCAUUCGAUACGGGCUAGCUAGAGUGUGGUAGGGGAGAUCGGAAUUCCUGGUGUAGCGGUGAAAUGCGCAGAUAUCAGGAGGAACACCGGUGGCGAAGGCGGAUCUCUGGGCCAUUACUGACGCUGAGGAGCGAAAGCGUGGGGAGCGAACAGGAUUAGAUACCCUGGUAGUCCACGCCGUAAACGUUGGGAACUAGGUGUUGGCGACAUUCCACGUCGUCGGUGCCGC